rnacentral:rRNA from 1 species
GAGACCCCAGGUCAAGCGAAACUACCCACUGAAAUUAA